rnacentral:lncRNA from 1 species
GCCUAUGGAAUAGAAGUGAUAAUCUCACUUGAGAUCGGAUUACCAUCAAUAAAGAUGGAAUAAUAUAAUGAGCCGAGCAAUUCAGAAUAUUGGAAAGCCGAUCUAAACUUACUUCCAGAAGUCCAACAAGAAGUUCAAGUUCAGAUGGCGGCAUAUCGGCAAAGAAUAGCCUAAUAUUAUAAUGCAAAAGUUAAGCCGAAGGUCUUCCAUCCAGGAGAUCUGGUCCUAAGAAAAGCAAAAGUUUCAAAGCCUUUGGACCAGGAGAAGUUAUCUCCAAAUUAGGAAGGGCCCUACAGAAUAAUCGAG